GAUGAACGCUAGCUACAGGCUUAACACAUGCAAGUCGAGGGGAAACGACAUCGAAAGCUUGCUUUUGAUGGGCGUCGACCGGCGCACGGGUGAGUAACGCGUAUCCAACCUGCCCACCACUUGGGGAUAACCUUGCGAAAGUAAGACUAAUACCCAAUGACGUCUCUAGAAGACAUCUGAAAGAGAUUAAAGAUUUAUCGGUGAUGGAUGGGGAUGCGUCUGAUUAGCUUGUUGGCGGGGUAACGGCCCACCAAGGCGACGAUCAGUAGGGGUUCUGAGAGGAAGGUCCCCCACAUUGGAACUGAGACACGGUCCAAACUCCUACGGGAGGCAGCAGUGAGGAAUAUUGGUCAAUGGACGAGAGUCUGAACCAGCCAAGUAGCGUGCAGGAUGACGGCCCUAUGGGGUGUAAACUGCUUUUAUAAGGGAAUAAAGUGAGUCUCGUGAGACUUUUUGCAUGUACCGUAUGAAUAAGGACCGGCUAAUUCCGU
rnacentral:rRNA from 1 species